UACGGAAGGCAGCAGUGGGGAAUAUUGCACAAUGGGCGAAAGCCUGAUGCAGCUAUGCCGCGUGUAUGAAGAAGGCCUUAGGGUUGUAAAGUACUUUCAUCGGGGAGGAAAAACAAAACUAAUAAUUUUAUUUCUUGACGUUACCCGAAAAAGAAGCACCGGCUAACUCCGUGCCAGCAGCCGCGGUAAUACGGAGGGUGCUAGCGUUAAUCAGAAUUACUGGGCGUAAAGAGCACGUAGGUGGUUUUUUAAGUCAGAUGUGAAAUCCCUGGGCUUAACCUAGGAACUGCAUUUUGAAACUGAAAUACUAGAGUAUCGUAGAGGGAGGUAGAAUUCUAGGUGUAGCGGUGAAAUGCGUAGAUAUCUGGAGGAAUACCUGUGGCGAAAGCGGCCUCCUAAACGAAUACUGACACUGAGGUGCGAAAAGCGUGGGGAGCAAACAGGGAUUAGAUACC
rnacentral:rRNA from 1 species